ACUUCAGGGCUGGUUGUGGUAAGGG
rnacentral:piRNA from 1 species